rnacentral:tRNA from 1 species
GGGGAUUUAGCACAGUGGUAGAGUGCUUGCUUGGCAAGUGCAAGACCAUGGAUUCAAUCCCCA